GCUGGAAAUAUCCUACCCAUGAUCCUACUGUGCUUGGGCUGUGUGGCCCAUCAGCUGGGAAAUUCCCUGCAUUCUUUUGCAGAUUGGCAAGACAUUUCUCCUUCCCCAGAUGAAGAGCUGAGGCUAAGGAAAUUCAAGUAAUGUGUAUAAGAUUCCAGAACUAGUUAAGCA